rnacentral:rRNA from 1 species
CCCUGCCAUUUGUACACACCGCCCGUCGCUACUACCGAUUGAGUGGCUUAGUGAGGUCUUCGGAUCGCGGCUCAGCGGGGUUACUCGCCGAGCUGCGAGAAGUUGGACAAACUUGGUCACUUAGAGGAAGUAAA